UUGGUCAAACUGUUUGGAUUUGCACGUCAAAUGCUGAUGAACUUUAUGCAUUUCUUUUUUGGUUUUAAAUUCUACUCAUGCUUCGGUACCUGCAAGUCAUAAAUCAUCUUUCGGUAGUUUGCAUGUCUUGUGGGUCAUGAUUUCUGGGAACCUACAAUAAUUGCUAAGAAAGGCUUGUGUUUGAUUAGAUUUUCAUGAAAAAGAAUGAAAUGCAGUGAACCAAUAGCUUCUUCUAUGUUACAAUGAUACAUGCUAUGCGCGGUAGAUGUUAUGUCUGGAGUUGAGGUACUGUAGUGCAGCCGGCUCUAAUUUCAACCAACAUAAUAAUAAAGAGAAAUGAUCUUAUUUUGGAAGAUAGUGGUAGAGAUGAUGAGAUUAGUUUCCUUUAGAUAAGAGGAUGGUUUCCUUUAACAUAGGUAUUAGUUUCAUCGACAUCAGUCCAAGCCCUCCUUAUAGAAGGAUCAUCUUCUUGAACUAAGCGAUGAAAUAGCCAAACUUGAGCUAAGUCUCUGAGUAACUCAUCUCGCUGGAUGGCGUCGAAGUUGUCAGUGAAGAUCUGAUCUGAUACCGUAAGGUCCCCACGGAUGGCGUCAGUUUCGAGGGAUGAAAUAUCGGUGCCUCGCAACAGUAUGAUACUUGUAGGGAAUUUAUUUGCUCGCAUGGAUAUGCUCUAGGUACCAGGGAUCUCUAAACACACAUUUUCCCAGGUUUGGGUCCCCAUGGGAUGGCUAACAGUGUUACUCCUGCUUUGUUGGAGUAUAUCGGGAUCAUAGGGUACAAUUGUGUUUAUAGAAAGGGAUACCCAGUUGGUUGGGAGGCAACUCGAUGGCUAGGGUUUCUGCCCUACAAUUGGCUUCCGUGGGAUUUGGAAUGCUUGAGAGAUUAUGGUCGUCUUGCGGAGUCUGUCUUGUUUAUAUAUACAUGUGAUAUGGUGGUGGCCUAGGAUUCCAUGUUGUGAACGGGUAGGACUCCUGGGCGUAUACAAUAAAACUUGUGCUCCUUUCCCAAGUAUCUGCAAGACUUCCUUGGAAAGCCGUGGUAUACCCCACCUAGGUCAGAGGAAUCCUGUGUGGGCCGCUUAGAGUAUGCAUAUCCCUGGGCUUAUGCGGCUCGUUAUAACUACCUAUCGUCAAGAUGGCAUUUUUUUCUUUUUUCUUUUUUUGUGUGAAAGCAACUAACCAAAAAAACACUUACAAGCUUACUUGAAAACCUCCGUUACAUAAUUCUUGUCUCAAAUUUAUCCAAAAAUGGAUGUAUCUAUUCCUAAAAAGCGUCUAGAUACAUGUAAUAUUUCGACAAGAAUUAUGGAACGGAGGAGUGCAAGUGCACAAAGCCCUAUGCUUAAUAGGUGAAAAGUUUAUGCAAAAAAAAAAGUGAUGGAUUGUGGAAGGCACUGCAAGGAGGCAUACCUUUUGUUGAAGACCUUCACCUUGAAGUUAACAUUCUCUGUCAGUCUUUCUUGCUUCCUGUUUUUUGGUGUUGAAGGAUGAAAUGGGCUCCAGUAUGAGGACCUAGAGAUUGUCGCUAGCUUCAAAAUGAUUAUUAUAUAACCCAAAUUGGAGUCCGGAUGCAGAAGAUAUGACCAAAACCGUGCAAGACAAAGUGCAAGAAAUUGUCACUUCUGUGGCUACAACUGAAGAUCAGUCGAUGGCACCGAAUUCCAGUAGCAUGUUGCAGUCUGGUUGGUGGUACCGACCUGAGGAGGUUCCAGGGUACCAAGUUGCAUAGCAGCUAUCCUGUGACCAGGAGUCCAGGACUCCAGGAGGCUUUUGCGCUCUGGCUGGCACAGUACAAGAGGGUUGUGUGGGCAGCAGAGAUAGCAGGGGAUAAACUUUGAAUCCCUAGUUCAUGCUGCGCUCCUUAUAAAGGAGGUGACCAACUUCUUUUGCAUGGAAGUAAAGACUUCAUCCAAUUGGAAUCUAGUUAUAACAGGAUUGAAACCGACACAUCCAUCAGGGAAAACCUGCAUGGAUACAACUUUAACUCUUAACUCUAACCAGGAUCAGGACAUCAGAGAUCAGACUGGGUCUAGCGCCUGUAGGGACUAGGGAAAGCCCCCCCCCAUAGCAGUGAUGUUCUCAUGUGAGCUUUUGGUCCCACAGAUAUUGUGUGUUUAAAACUUGCCAGCUUAUGUGAUAGUUGUGCACUGAUUGAAUUGCUAUUCUGUUCGAUUUAUUAUUCUUAUGUUGCAUGCUUCAAACUUUGUAUGAUAUCAUCACCUUUAUUUUCCACUUUUCGUUUUUCUUUUUUUUUUCAUUUGAUGCCAUGCUCUGAAAUUAUGGAGUUUUGCUUCUUUUUUUUCACCUUGCAGUUUCCCUUCCAGAGGUGUUUUGCUUGUUUUUUGUUAGCAGUUGGAUCA